rnacentral:other from 1 species
AGAGCCGCCCUGUCCGCGCCGCGCCUCGGCAGCCGGAACAGGGCCGCCGUCGGGGAGCCCCAACACACGAUCCACAGCUCAUCAUGAUGGACUUGGAGCUGCCGUCGCCGGGACUCCCGUCCCAGCAGGACAUGGAUUUGAUUGACAUACUUUGGAGGCAAGAUAUAGAUCUUGGAGUAAGUCGAGAAGUAUUUGACUUCAGUCAGCGACGGAAAGAGUAUGAGCUGGAAAAACAGAAAAAACUUGAAAAGGAAAGACAAGAACAACUCCAAAAGGAGCAAGAGAAAGCCUUUUUCGCUCAGUUACAACUAGAUGAAGAGACAGGUGAAUUUCUCCCAAUUCAGCCAGCCCAGCACAUCCAGUCAGAAACCAGUGGAUCUGCCAACUACUCCCAGGUACAGAGUACUCAGUUCUUGGGAAAGUUAUGGCAGGUUUAAGGAAACACUGAGCAAGGAAUUAAAAUAUCUGGAUUUGAGUUCCAGCUUUGCCUUUCUUUUACUUAUCCUUGUCAAAUCUACUUU